rnacentral:rRNA from 1 species
GACGAAGGAUGCAAGCGUUAUCCGGAUUCAUUGGGUUUAAAGGGUGCGUAGGCGGACUUGUAAGUCAGUGGUGAAAUCUCUCAGCUUAACUGAGAAACUGCCAUUGAUACUGCAGGUCUUGAGUACAGAUGCCGUUGGCGGAAUAUGACAUGUAGCGGUGAAAUGCAUAGAUAUGUCAUAGAACACCGAUUGCGAAGGCAGCUGACGAAACUGUAACUGACGCUGAGGCACGAAAGUGCGGGGAUCAAACAGG